rnacentral:rRNA from 1 species
GAUCAUGGCUCAGGAUUAACGCUGGCGGCGUGCCUAAUACAUGCAAGUCGAAUGGUAGCAAUACCAUGGCGAACGGGUGAGUAACACGUAGGUAACCUGUCUUUAAGCCGAGGAUAACCAUUGGAAACGAUGGAUAAUACUGGAUAGGACAUUUGAAGGCAUCUUUAGAUGUUUAAAGAUUUAUCACUUAGAGAGGGGCCUGCGGCGCAUUAGCUAGUUGGUGAGGUGAAGGCUUACCAAGGCGAUGAUGCGUAGCCGGACUGAGAGGUUGAACGGCCACAAUGGAACUGAGAACGGUCCAUACUCCUACGGGAGGCAGCAGUAGGGAAUUUUCGGCAAUGGGCGGAAGCCUGAACCCGAGCAACGCCGCGUGAACGAAGAAGUAUUUCGGUAUGUAAAGUUCUUUUAUUAGGGACGAAAAGACAGAUUGACGGUACCUAAUGAAUAAGCUCCGGCUAACUACGUGCCAGCAGCCGC